rnacentral:rRNA from 1 species
AGAGUUUGAUCCUGGCUCAGGAUGAACGCUGGCGGCGUGCCUAACACAUGCAAGUCGAGCGAUUCUCUUCGGAGAAGAGCGGCGGACGGGUGAGUAACGCGUGGGUAACCUGCCCUGUACACACGGAUAACAUACCGAAAGGUAUGCUAAUACGAGAUAAUAUACUUUUAUCGCAUGGUAGAAGUAUCAAAGCUCCGGCGGUACAGGAUGGACCCGCGUCUGAUUAGCUAGUUGGUAAGGUAACGGCUUACCAAGGCGACGAUCAGUAGCCGACCUGAGAGGGUGAUCGGCCACAUUGGAACUGAGACACGGUCCAAACUCCUACGGGAGGCAGCAGUGGGGAAUAUUGCGCAAUGGGCGAAAGCCUGAUGCAGCAACGCCGCGUGAGCGAUGAAGGCCUUCGGGUCGUAAAGCUCUGUCCUCAAGGAAGAUAAUGACGGUACUUGAGGAGGAAGCCCCGGCUAACUACGUGCCAGCAGCCGCGGUAAUACGUAGGAGGCUAGCGUUAUCCGGAAUUACUGGGCGUAAAGGGUGCGUAGGUGGUUUCUUAAGUCAGAGGUGAAAGGCUACGGCUCAACCGUAGUAAGCCUUUGAAACUGGGAAACUUGAGUGCAGGAGAGGAGAGUGGAAUUCCUAGUGUAGCGGUGAAAUGCGUAGAUAUUAGGAGGAACACCAGUUGCGAAGGCGGCUCUCUGGACUGUAACUGACACUGAGGCACGAAAGCGUGGGGAGCAAUCAGGAUUAGAUACCCUGGUAGUCCACGCCGUAAACGAUGAGUACUAGCUGUCGGAGGUUACCCCCUUCGGUGGCGCAGCU